UACGGGAGGAGCAAGCGUUGUUCGGAUUUACUGGGCGUAAAGGGCGCGUAGGCGGUCGCGACAAGUCACUUGUGAAAUCUCCGGGCUUAACUCGGAACGGUCAAGUGAUACUGUCGGACUAGAGUACAGAAGGGGCAACUGGAAUUCUCGGUGUAGCGGUGAAAUGGCGUAGAUAUCGAGAGGAACACCUGGCGGCGAAGGCGGGUUGCUGGGCUGAUACUGACGCUGAGGCGCGAAAGCCCAGGGGAGCGAACGGG
rnacentral:rRNA from 1 species